rnacentral:rRNA from 1 species
AUUGAACGCUGUCGGCAGGCCUAACACAUGCAAGACGAGCGAGCGGCGGACGGGUGAGUAAUGUCUGGGAAACUGCCUGAUGGAGGGGGAUAACUACUGGAAACGGUAGCUAAUACCGCAUACCAUCAGAUGUGCCCAGAUGGGAUUGGCUAGUAGGUGGGGUAACGGCACACCUAGGCGACGAUCCCUAGCUGGUCUGAGAGGAUGACCAGCCACACGGGAACUGAGACAAGGUCCAGACUCCUACGGGAGGCAGCAGGGGGGAAUAUUGCACAAUGGGCGCAAGCCUGAUGCAGCCAUGCCGCGUGUAGGAAGAAGGCCUUCGGGUUGUAAAGUACUUUCAGCGGGGAGGCGUUACCCGCAGAAGAAGCACCGGCUAACUCCGUGCCAGCAGCCGCGGUAAUUC